CAAUAGCGUAUAUUAAAGCUGUUGCGGUUAAAAAGCUCGUAGUUGGAUUUCUGUCAAGGACAACUGGUCCGCCCUCCGGGUGAGCACAUAGUUUGGUCUUGACAUCUUGCCGGAAGCUGUUGCUGCACUUGGCUGUGUGGCGCAGUGUUCAGCACUUUCACUUUGAGGAAAUUGGAGUGUUUCAAGCAGGCACAUGCCUUUGGACACAGUAGCAUGGAAUAAUUAGAUUGGGCUUUUGCUCCAAUUUGUCGGUUUCUGGAGCUGAGGUGAGUAUUAAUGGGGAUUGUUGGGGGCAUCCGAAUUUAGCCGUCAGAGGUGAAAUUCUUGGAUCUGCUAAAGACGGACAACUGCGAAAGCGUUUGCCCAGGAUGUUUUCAUUG
rnacentral:rRNA from 1 species